UGUACAGACAUGCAAUGCUCUGAAGCAUUAAGGAAGAACGGCUGCACAUGAAAGCACCACCUUUAGACAGGAGGCAUAUAAAUACGGAUAUUUUAUAUUUAUCUCUGUUUGGCUUUUCCAGCUGCUGCUGCCAUCCAACAAACUUACAAUGCCAUCAAGUUUCUUCUUUAUGCUGGGUUUGGUUGUGGGGACCAUCAUAGCAGUCCAAACAACACCUGAGAGCAAGUCAAAUCAUACCCAAACAACACCUGAGAGCGAGUCAAAUCGUACCCAAACACCUGAGAGCAAGUCAAAUCGUACUACCUUCAUCACCAACAGCAGCACAAUGAGCACGACCAUCAGUGUCACAACUACCAUCAAUACAAGUGACUCAAAUACCGAAAUGAACGUCAGCACUGAAUCUCCAACAGGAAACAGCCCAAUAAGUGUCACUACUACAAGUACAGCAAAGCCCAACAGUCAGACUGUCACUGAAACCACAAAGCCUCCAACCACACCUGCACCGGGUGGUUCUGAGACAUCUCCAACCACAAAAGGCACAUCCCCGAAGAGUCCCACGUCCAGUACAAAGACAGCCAGCACUGACAAAACUGGUAUCAUCAUUCUAAUCAUUCUCAUCCUCGUGGUUGUGGUAUUUUUAAUUGCCUGUUACGUGACGCAGAAAAGAAGAAGACGCUACUCGGUCGAUUUUUCCUCCAGACAAGAUGAAGUCAACAUCCCUCUCAGCACCGUGGAGCCUGUUGAUACCGCACCUCAAAAUGGUCUGAAAACCUUUGAAAGUACAGAAACUACUGCGAAAGAGCCAGAAGAACCGGACGCAAAGCCAGAAGCCUCAGAUGAAGCUAAACCCGAAGCACAGGAGGAGCAGAAAGCUGAGACUGAUAAAUCUGUUGCUGAUCCCAGCACUGCAUCUGCAACUCCAGCUCCUGCUCCAGCUCCAGACAGCUCUGAGGACAAGCCCAAAGCGGAUGUUGCUGGCCCUCCUGCACCUGUGGAGUCCACUGUGGAAGUCAAAACUGAUGACGAGGCCACUGUCUCCAACAAGACUUCAGUGGAGUCCCUGAAGGAGACAAAUGAGAACAACAGCAACAACGCUGGCUUCAUUCAGACGAGAAGUUGAUUUGAUCUUCUGGGAAGUUCCUCUCGACUGUCCGGUGUGAGAUAUUGUGGCCGCCUGGUAACCGUGCCGUUCCUCAGAAACUUGACCAAAGAAAAAAGAGGCCGUCGGGGAAAAGGAUAUUUCUAUUCAAACUGUAUUCACUGAUGACUGUGAUACAAGCUUGUUUUUUUGGAGUAUAUACAGUAAUGUGCAAAAGUCUUGAGCCAACCAAUAUUUCUUUGUAUUUUGCGAGACAAAUCGGAAACAUUAUUUAUUUUUAAACAUGUCCAAGUAUAUGUGGACGUACAAUAUAUAAUUAAAUACUGAGUUUGCAUAAUUC